rnacentral:tRNA from 1 species
UCCCUGACAGUCCAGUGGUUAGGACUUGGCACUUUCACUGCCAUGACCUGGGUUCAAUUCCUGGCUGGGGAA